GUCUUGCUGACGGACCCAGUAGUAAUGGAGUGGGCAUGGUUGUCACCUGUCAGUUCAGAGCCAGCAUCUCAGGAACAAGGACUUCCUUCAACGACUGAAAAGUUCCUCUUCUAUCAGGAUGGCAUCAGUGAAGGUCUUCUACAAAUUAGGAUCUGGAACCAACUCUACUUCUGCAAGCCAACUUCUCUAUUUGAGAUUCUCCCUGUGUUUGACACUCCAGACGCUUUGCCAUCUAGUUCUCUGGCCUACUUUAUAGUUCUCAAACUUCCCUGCCUUCCUUUCUGGGCCAAAGCUUCCUACUUUGUCCCCUAGGAAAGGUAUCCCUGGAAUCGGGGACUGAAGAAGUUUCUGUGACAGAUGUUGUCAUUGUUUUGCAUUUCCUCCCAAACCUGCUAUGCUGUGGGACAUUACACCAUGGCCCUGGACUCUAGCCUCACCUUUUUUAGGUCUGUCCAGAUGUCGGGUAAACAGCAUGCCAGAGGAGACCUGCAUUCCUGCAGGCCCCACUUUGAUCAGGGACUUUUGUUCCUUUACACAUGAGGCUUCACAGAGUCUACCCAGUUGCAGGGUCAGUGGCCUCUCUGGGUACUGGCUUUUGGGUUAGGUAGAGCCCAGCUGGGAUGAAUGUUGUACUGGACUACUUAGCAGCUCCUUGACUGCAGAAUGGAAGUCUCGGGCUUUCACACACAGCCCUGGCCUCUCCCAGUUCACCACAGCAGGACGACUGCGUGGGGAGAAAGGCGUCCAAAGCUUGGUUUCACUGGAAGGUUCUGAGAGUCUCUGCUCUGCUCUUCAUUCUGAAAUGUAGCCUCUGUUCUUCACAGUUCUCUGUGUGCAGGGGAGAAAAUGAUAGUCUUCCCCUCCCUCCUCCCUUUCCCGCUCCUUCUCUUGUCCUUUUACCGGAAAUAAACAAACAACAACAAUAAAAAUGAAGCCAUUCUCUC